UUCUAAGGGCGUUGAAGCAUGAUCGCAAGGACAUGUGGAGCGCUUAGAAGUGAGAAUGCCGGUGUGAGUAGCGAAAGACGGGUGAGAAUCCCGUCCACCGAUUGACUAAGGUUUCCAGAGGAAGGCUCGUCCGCUCUGGGUUAGUCGGGUCCUAAGCUGAGGCCGACAGGCGUAGGCGAUGGAUAACAGGUUGAUAUUCCUGUACCACCAUUAUUCGUUUUAAGCGAUGGGGGGACGCAGUAGGAUAGGCGAAGCGUGCUGUUGGAGUGCACGUCCAAGCAGUGAGAUUGAGUGUUAGGCAAAUCCGGCACUCUUAAGAUUGAGCUGUGAUGGGGAGAGGAACUUGUUCCUCGAGUCGUUGAUUUCACACUGCCGAGAAAAGCCUCUAGCUAGAAUAACGGUGCCCGUACCGCAAACCGACACAGGUAGUCAAGAUGAGAAUUCUAAGGUGAGCGAGCGAACUCUCGUUAAGGAACUCGGCAAAAUGACCCCGUAACUUCGGGAGAAGGGGUGCUCUUUGAGGUUCACGCUUCGAAGAGCCGCAGUGAAUAGGCCCAAGCGACUGUUUAUCAAAAACACAGGUCUCUGCUAAACCGUAAGGUGACGUAUAGGGGCUGACGCCUGCCCGGUGCUGGAAGGUUAAGAGGAGUGGUUAGCGCAAGCGAAGCUACGAAUCGAAGCCCCAGUAAACGGCGGCCGUAACUAUAACGGUCCUAAGGUAGCGAAAUUCCUUGUCGGGUAAGUUCCGACCCGCACGAAAGGCGUAACGAUUUGGGCACUGUCUCAACGAGAGACUCGGUGAAAUCAUAGUACCGGUGAAGAUGCCGGUUACCCGCGACAGGACGGAAAGACCCCGUGGAGCUUUACUGUAGCCUGAUAUUGAAAUUCGGUACAGUUUGUACAGGAUAGGUAGGAGCCUUAGAAGCGUG
rnacentral:rRNA from 1 species